GCAUAGAUGAUGGCUGAGCUUUUUCCCCCGACAGAUGGACCAUGUUUAUCUAACUUCUCUAAGUCAGUUUCUGUCUGAUAUGC
ensembl:snoRNA small nucleolar SNORD12/SNORD106